GACGAACGCUGGCGGCGUGCUUAACACAUGCAAGUCGAACGAAGUGGCGAACGGGUGAGUAACGCGUACUCAACCUGCCCUUCAGAGGGGGACAACAGUUGGAAACGACUGCUAAUACCGCAUACUGAGGCAGGGGAUUGCGUCUGAUUAGCUAGUUGGAGGGGUAACGGCCCACCACGGCGCUGAUCAGUAGCCGGUCUGAGGGGAUGAACGGCCAAAUUGGGACGGAGACACGGCCCAGACUCCGACGGGAGGCAGCAGUGGGGAAUCGUCCGCAAUGGACGAAAGUCUGACGGAGGAACGCAGCGUGAGUGAUGACGGCCUUCGGGUUGUAAAGCUCUGUUAAUCGGGACGCGGUACCGGAAUAGAAAGCCACGGCUAACUACGUGCCAGCAGCCGCGGUAAUUC
rnacentral:rRNA from 1 species